rnacentral:misc_RNA from 1 species
AACGCACAUUGCGCCCUUUGGUAUUCCGAAGGGCAUGCCUGUUCGAGCGUCAUUAUCACCCCUCAAAGCCCCGGGCUUUGGUGUUGGAUGGCCUGGCUGGGCGUUUUACCGCCCGGCCCCUCCUAAAGACAAUGACGGCGGUCCGUGGAGCCCCCGGUACACUGAGCAUAUCUGCAUGUACCGGCAACGAAAGGGCGCCCGGGCGACGGUCUGAACCCCCUUAUUUUCUCAAGGUUGACCUCGGAUCAGGUAGGGAUACGCGCUGAACUUAA